AGCGAACGCUGGCGGCAGGCUUAACACAUGCAAGUCGAACGGCUCUUUCGGGAGCAGUGGCAGACGGGUGAGUAACACGUGGGAACGUGCCUUUUGGUUCGGAACAACUCAGGGAAACUUGAGCUAAUACCGGAUGUGCCCUUCGGGGGAAAGAUUUAUCGCCAUUAGAGCGGCCCGCGUCUGAUUAGCUAGUUGGUGAGGUAAAGGCUCACCAAGGCUACGAUCAGUAGCUGGUCUGAGAGGAUGAUCAGCCACACUGGGACUGAGACACGGCUCAGACUCCUACGGGAGGCAGCAGUGGGGAAUCUUGCGCAAUGGGCGAAAGCCUGACGCAGCCAUGCCGCGUGAAUGAUGAAGGUCUUAGGAUUGUAAAAUUCUUUCAGUGGGGACGAUAGUGACGGUACCCACAGAAGAAGCCCCGGCUAACUUCGUGCCAGCAGCCGCGGUAAUACGAAAGGGGCUAGCGUUGCUCGGAAUUACUGGGCGUAAAGGGCGCGUAAGCGGAUCG
rnacentral:rRNA from 1 species